rnacentral:rRNA from 1 species
AGAGUUUGAUCAUGGUUCAGGACGAACGCUGGCGGUGUGCCUAACACAUGCAAGUCGAACGAAGUAUGUUUUUCGGAAUGUAUUUAGUGGCGGACGGGUGAGUAACGCGUGAAUAAUCUGCCCUGUACAAAGGAAUAGCCUCGGGAAACUGGGAUUAAAACCGUAUAACACUUUUGAGCCGCAUGGCUUAGAAGUCAAAUUGAUUAAGAGGUAUGGGAUGAGUUCGCGUCUGAUUAGCUAGUUGGUAAGGUAAAGGCUUACCAAGGCGACGAUCAGUAGCCGGCCUGAGAGGGUGAUCGGCCACACUGGAACUGAGACACGGUCCAGACUCCUACGGGAGGCAGCAGUGGGGAAUAUUGCACAAUGGAGGAAACUCUGAUGCAGCGACGCCGCGUGAGUGAAGAAGGUCUUCGGAUCGUAAAACUCUGUCCUUGGUGAAGAAAGAAAUGACGGGUAGCCAAGGAGGAAGCCCCGGCUAACUACGUGCCAGCAGCCGCGGUAAUACGUAGGGGCGAGCGUUGUCCGGAUUUACUGGGCGUAAAGGGUGAGUAGGCGGUAAUAUGUGUCAGGUGUUAAAGGCUAUGGCUUAACCAUAGUUA